AGCCCCUUCGUCCAGUGGUCAAGGAUUGAUGCCUUUGGAGCAUUAGACCCAGGUUCGAAUCCUGGAGGGGCUA
rnacentral:tRNA from 1 species